GACGAACGCUGGCGGCGCGCUUAACACAUGCAAGUCGAACGGAAAGGCCUGCUUUCCCUGGUGGAUUGCGGGUACUCGAGUGGCGAACGGGUGAGUAACACGUGAGUGAUCUGCCCCCAACUUGGGUAUAAGCCGGGGAAACUGGGUCUAAUUCCCGAUAGGACUGAAGGGUGGUGCCUGGGGGGGAAAACGAUUUUCUAGUGGUUGGGGAUGAGCUCGCGGCCUAUCAGCUUGUUGGUGGGGUAAUGGCCUACCAAGGCGGCGACGGGUAGCCGGCCUGAGAGGGUGGACGGCCACAUUGGGACUGAGAUACGGCCCAGACUCCUACGGGAGGCAGCAGUGGGGAAUAUUGCACAAUGGGCGGAAGCCUGAUGCAGCGACGCCGCGUGGGGGAUGACGGCCUUCGGGUUGUAAACUCCUUUCGACCGCGAGGAAGCCACCUGGUUGGAAGGGUGGUGACGGUAGUGGUAGGAGAAGCACCGGCUAACUACGUG
rnacentral:rRNA from 1 species